AAAUUGAAGUAUAAGGAGAAUUUUUACAUUGCCUAGGUUCUAAUUUGGAAGGUUUCUAACAGCCCUCUGUCCUCUUCUGGUGCUCACUGUGAAAGAAUUUGCACCCUGCACCACUAAGUGUUUGUGCUAGAAUCCACUUCUAAUGUUGGCUGCUCUGACACAGCUUCCAUUCGGCAGGGUCUUACUCUGUCACCCAGACCGGAGUGCAGGGGGUGAUCUCGGCUCAUUGCAACCCGUCUCCCGGAUUCAAGCAAUUCUCCUGCCUCAGCCACCC
rnacentral:antisense_RNA from 1 species